UUUUGAGAGAUAUAGACGAUAGAAGAACCAUAUGCUCACCUAGUUGGUCUGUUUGUCCGCGUUAUUACAUUUGAAGACGAUGAUACAUCAUGGAAGGGAACGACCGAAGACACCAUACCAUUCUUACUGAGGGUGAGGGAGAAGAACCUGUGCCCCUACAGUCCGCCGGUUCACCUUUUUAUCAGUGCCCAUUCUGCUCUUAUAAGACUGCAGAAAGGCAUUUGGUGAUUUACCACAUAAAAAAUCAUGCAACGGUGAAACAUAAAGAGUUCACCAUUGCUAGAUGUGGUCUGAAGUGCCGCUCAACUACGCACUUCCACUGUUGUGUCCAGCUACACUAAUCAAAAAAGAGACCAAAUCACCAAGCACCUCUCGAGUCACAGUGUGUUGGACAAUACAAUAACUGGAACCCUGCAAACUCUGGUGGCACCACAGACAAUCAAGACACCGCAAGGUAACCUGCAGACUCCGGUGGCACCACCGACAGUCAAGACUCCGCAAGGUAACCUGCAGACUCCGGUGGCACCACCGACAGUCAAGACCCCACAAGGUCACCUGCAGACUCCGGUGGCACCACCGACAGUCACGAAACCGCAAGGUAACCUGCAGACUCCGGUUGCACCACCGACAGUCAA